ACGAACGCUGGCGGCGUGCUUAACCCAUGCAAGUCGAACGGAAAGGCCCUGCUUUUGUGGGGUGCUCGAGUGGCGAACGGGUGAGUAACACGUGAGUAACCUGCCCUUGACUUUGGGAUAACUUCAGGAAACUGGGGCUAAUACCGGAUAGGAGCUCCUGCUGCAUGGUGGGGGUUGGAAAGUUUCGGCGGUUGGGGAUGGACUCGCGGCUUAUCAGCUUGUUGGUGGGGUAGUGGCUUACCAAGGCUUUGACGGGUAGCCGGCCUGAGAGGGUGACCGGCGACAGUGGGGGGGGCGGCGGGCGCAGGAUGAGAGGGGGGGGGGAGGGGGGGAGAGGGGAAGGGGGGGCGGAAGGCGGGUGGGGCAGGGGCGGGGGCGGGAGGAGGGGCUGCGGGUUGUAGGCCGUUGGCGGCUGGGACGAGGGGGGAGGGAUGGGAGGAGGAAAAGAAGCACCGGGUAACUACGGGACAGGGGCGGGGGUAAUAGAGGGAAGAACACCAGUCAGACC
rnacentral:rRNA from 1 species